UACGUAGGGUGCAAGCGUUAAUCGGAAUUAUUGGGCGUAAAGCGCUCGUAGGUGGUUCGAUGCGUCGUGCGUGAAAGACCCCGGCUCAACUGGGGAGGGUCGUGCGAUACGGUCGAACUGGAGGCCAGUAGGGGGAUGCGGAAUUCCGGGUGUAGUGGUGGAAUGCGUAGAGAUCCGGAGGAACACCAGCGGCGAAGGCGGCAUCCUGGACUGGUCCUGACACUCAGGAGCGAAAGCGUGGGGAGCGAGCCGG
rnacentral:rRNA from 1 species